CUUCGACAUAAACAAGCUAAGAGCAGGUGUCAAAUGGAUAAAAAAUAUAAAUAUCCGCUGUAUUUUGUGGCUGACGACCUCGAGGAUCAAGCGAGACACAAAAUAAGAAGGUACUUUAUGAAAAGACGGGACUCAGGAGGAGGCGACUGUGGAGUGAUAGAAAAAGUCGGUGAGAAACUUUACAAAAUCAGUUUCGAACAACAAGAAGAUCAAGAAAGGGUUUUGAACAGAAAAACUCACACAGCUUCACUUCCGUCUGGACAGUUACAUCUUAAUGUGACCAGGACUGAGGCAGAAGCUAUAAGUUUGCAGACAACAUCAGUGCAAGCACCACCAAAGCCUUCAAAUGCAUCAAAUUACCUGGAGAGGACUUUUUCAUGGGAUAUUUUCCUUUUAUGCUAUUUACGCGACUGUAGCAAAGCUUUUAAAAUCUUGGAGAAGCAGUUAACUUGCAUUGGCUGCACUGUCGAGCUUAACUUUGAUCAGGAAGUUGUUGUGGUGAAAGCAGAUGCAAAGAAUGGACUUGGUGGUGCGUUCAGUGGCGUACCAGAAAAAUGGGAAAUCCAAGUUGACCGCGUUUUGAGUAGUUUUCGAGAGAGCUUCACUUGCCAUCAUGUGGUUGAUCCCAAGAAAAUUCAAACUAUUUUGCAAGAUAAAACUUUCACAGAUGAUGAUGUGAAAAUGUAUAAUGAAUUGGGAUAUCUGGUUGCGGUUGGAGAAAAAAGCUUGGUUGAGGAAAAAAUACUAAAUUUAAACAGAAAUUUUCCGACUAAAACAGAGUUGUCAAUAGAUGAAAAGCAGUAUAACUUGAUUGGAGAAGAAUUCACAAGAGAGAUGCGGACAAACUUGCCAAAUGUUAAAAUCGUAAAAAACAAUAAUGUUAUAGUCUUUGACGGUCUUCAUACUGAAGUGCAUUUAGGUUUGGAUGUAUAUGACAAAUUACUCAAAAAGAUCCAACUAAAGCAUGUACCAUUUUCAGCUGAACUGCAAAAUUUCUUCACCACCAGUGAUGCAAUUGCAAAGUACAAGGCACGAUUCCAGCAAUGUCUAAGAAUUCCAGUCUGCUUAGAAAUGUUGAAUUUAGAUUUAAUUUUGUCAAGUUUGUCAGUGGAAGCUGCUGAAGAAGCUGCAGCUAUUUUAGAAAGAGAUUUUUGUAUGGCUAUUGUGCAUUUGGAGGGAAACGCUGCAAAAUCACCAGAUUUGGAUAGAAUGAAUGAACUUUUAACAAAAAGUAAAGAUCAUGCAAAUAUCCAGGAACGUAGAAUUGAUGUUAAUUUAGUCCCUGAACCAAAUAGUACAAUCAAAGUCCAGCUUGUAGGCUACAGCGAAUGUGUAAACCAGUUAAAAGAGGAGUUACAUGACUAUCUACUGAAUCAUGUAACAGUACAAGACAAACUAGAUCUACUUAAUGCAGAAAUGGUUGAACUUUUUAGUAAAAUUUUGACUUUGUUUGCACGAAAGGAUAGUAGAGUGUCCUUGAACGCAUCACUAGUCCCCUAUCCUUGCGUGCUGCUUUCAGGGCCUCAGCAGUUAGUCCGAAAAACCAAAGUGGAACUUAACAGAGAACUUGAAAGUUUGAUUUCGGAAAAUUUAGUUAUAGAUGGACCAGGAGCAGUUGAGUACUUCAAUGCAGAAGGGAAACCAAGUAAAGAACUGAUUGAAAGGUUGAAUCAAGUUCUCAUACAAGAAAUUCAGGAAAUUAUAUAUUCUGUGCCAUGUCUACCAGCCACAAGCAAUGUUGAAGAAGUAUCCAGAAGGAGUAGUAUUGUUGACAGGCAGACCUCAAUCAACAACAUCAAUGUGGAAGUCAAGCUGGGAAAUUUGGUCAAUGAACAGGUGGAUGUGCUGGUGGCCCCAAUGCUGAAGAAGAGUCUACAGUCCACUAUGAUUGGUAAAAGUCUGGUGAGAAAAGGCGGUCUAGCGAUGAAGAUGAAGUUUAAAUCUGUGAGGAGUAAGUCCCUGAUGCCUGGAGGGGUGCUGGAGAUGAUGGCCCCUGCCUCUGUGGGCUGCUCCAAACUGUUUUUCAUCGAGUGCAUGCCCUGGGAUGGACUGGGAGGGCAGAGCAUGACGACCCUGAGCGUCGGUCUGCAGCGCUGCCUGGAGCUGUGUGAGGAGCAGAGGUACAGCUCAAUGGCCCUCCCCGUGAUAGGUCCUGGAAAAGUGCUCAAAUACCCACUCAGAGAUGCCAUCCUGCUGCUAACAGAGAAGCUCCAUCAGUUUGGAAGAA
ensembl:lncRNA